UUGUGCAAAGUCUACGUUCAGUUACGCGUUCUGAUUCGUCGACUGACCGUAGACUCCCCCAAUUAAAUCGCUCCGUUUGACUGUAGACUACCAAUUGGAAACGUAGGAUUCGCCGACCGCAGACUACCAAUCACACGCCGACAUUCAAAGUUGAACCUGCCGCUGCGGUCAACGGAGGUCUCCGGUGAUCGUAGCCUACAGUAUUUCUGUGUAUUUCAGUAUCUGUAAGUGAAGAUGGCAACCCCAGUAAUCCGCAUCGUCAACCCAGAGGCCCCUGCACACCGUCAACAGGCCGUACUGAUGGCGACUAAAGAGGCCCGUUGUUAUCUUCCAGGACAGCGCCCUGACACACGCAGAGAAGCUCCUUCAAGCAGAGGGCAUCCCUGCAUCGUCGUGUCAGCUGUGCCUGGGAAAGCUGCUAGUCCCUUUUGGCCAGUAUGACAAUGCACCCUUCCACUGGCUUGUCACAAAUGAUGUGGCAUACAUGAAGUAGUAAGCAUAUUAUAUUCAAUACCAUUGUUGGCUGUGCAUUUUUUUGAUUGCAUGUUUAAAAUAAAUAUCUGUUUACACAAAACUA